rnacentral:lncRNA from 1 species
AUUAAAUUAAAUUCAUGAUUUAAACUCAAAUUUAAAUUUUAAUGUAAAAUAGAUGGAUAGAAAUGCUAUUUUUUAACAGAUUGAUUAUAACUGUUCAUUUUUAUUUGAAAUAUUUUUAACGAAUUGAUCAUAACUGUUCGUGGAAUUAGAUUUAUAGAUGGAUAUAAAUGUUAUUUUUUAACAGAUUGAUUAUAACUGUUUGUUCAUUCUUAUUUGAGAUAUUUUUUAAUAAACUGUCUGUCAUUGUAGGAAUUUCUAUACGUUUUUAUAUGUAGUAUAGAUAUAGAUAUAUUAAUAUUUUAAUAACAUAUAAUUAUAAAAUACUGAUUUCUAGAUCAAAUUAAGUAUAUAUGAAUUUUCAAAUUUUAUUUUUUAUAAAACUAAUCUGUGCUAAUAGAAAAUAAAAUAAGAUCAGUUGAUUUUAAGCCGUCAGAUUUUAAUAUAAAUUGAUAACAAAAUCCGAUCGCUUUGAAAACCGGACUGAUUCACUAGUUUAAUGGUUGAACUGCCGAU